rnacentral:lncRNA from 1 species
AGCUAAGAUGUACUAGGAGCAGGAGGGGACCGUCAAGGGAAGUCACUGCAAAGGCUGCCAAGGAAGACCCAAGCUCUGCACUCGGGGUCUCAAUAGCGCAAUCCAGCCCUGUGCUAGAGACGGAAUCCAGGAUUUUGUGCACACUGGGCAAUUGCUGUAACACUAAACUGCACCCCUAGCCCUUGACGUUUUGCAUGUUUGCGAAUCAAGCACAAACAAGCAUAGCCGGCAGGAUGCUGCUCAUCUAGUUUGUUCCGGGGACCCUGAGAUGAACUGGACACAUCAUUCUCUGCAGCUAAGACUGACCCAGGAAUAAUAACCCACUUAUCUCCC